UACGGAGGGUGCAAGCGUUGUCCGGAUUUAUUGGGUUUAAAGGGUGCGUAGGCGGCUUCUUAAGUCAGUGGUGAAAGCCAACAGCUCAACUGUUGAACUGCCAUUGAUACUGGGAGCUUGAGUACAGACGAGGUAGGCGGAAUUGACAGUGUAGCGGUGAAAUGCAUAGAUAUUGUCAAGAACUCCGAUUGCGAAGGCAGCUUACUAGACUGUAACUGACGCUGAGGCACGAAAGCGUGGGGAUCAAACAGG
rnacentral:rRNA from 1 species